UACAGAGGUCUCGAGCGUUGUUCGGAUCCAUUGGGCGUAAAGGGCGCGUAGGCGGCGGGGUAAGUCUGGUGUGAAAUCUCGGAGCUCAACUCCGAAAUUGCACUGGAUACUGCUCUGCUAGAGGGCUGGAGAGGAGAUCGGAAUUCACGGUGUAGCAGUGAAAUGCGUAGAUAUCGUGAGGAAGACCAGUGGCGAAGGCGGAUCUCUGGACAGCUCCUGACGCUGAGGCGCGAAGGCUAGGGGAGCAAACGGG
rnacentral:rRNA from 1 species